GCUGGCGGCGUGCUUAACACAUGCAAGUCGAGUGCGCGCCUGUAGCAAUACAGGUGGCGCACGGCGCACGGGUGCGUAACACGUGGGUAACCUGCCCUUUAGUGGGGAAUAACCUCGCGAAAGCGAGGCUAAUUCCGCAUAAGAUCCGCAAGGAUGAAAGCCGAAAGGCGCUGAUGGAGGGGCCCGCGCACGAUUAGCUAGUUGGUGAGGUGAUGGCUCACCAAGGCUAUGAUCGUUAGCUGGUCUGAGAGGAUGGCCAGCCACACUGGAACUGAGACACGGUCCAGACUCCUACGGGAGGCAGCAUGUGGGGAAUCUUGCACAAUGGGCGAAAGCCUGAUGCAGCGACGCCGCGUGGGGGAUGAAGCUUCUCGGAGUGUAAACCCCUUUCGACCCGGACGAAUACCUCGCAAGAGGGGUGACGGUACGGGUAUAAGAAGCCCCGGCUAACUACGUGCCAGCAGCCGCGGUAAGACGUAGGGGGCCAGCGUUGUUCGGAAUUACUGGGUGUAAAGGGUUCGUA
rnacentral:rRNA from 1 species